CCUACGGGAGGCAGCAGUGAGGAAUAUUGGUCAAUGGGCGGGAGCCUGAACCAGCCAAGUCGCGUGAGGGAAGACGGUCCUAUGGAUUGUAAACCUCUUUAGGCGGGGAGCAAUGCCGGGCACGUGUGCCCGGAGGGAGAGUACCCGCAGAAUAAGCAUCGGCUAACUCCGUGCCAGCCGCCGCGGUAAUACGGAGGAUGCGAGCUUUAUCCGGAUUUAUUGGGGUUAAAGGGUGCGUAGGCGGAUUUUUAAGUCAGCGGUAAAAUGUCCGGGCUCAACCCGGGCCGGCCGUUGAAACUGGGGAUCUUGAGUGGGCGAGAAGUAUGCGGAAUGCGUGGUGUAGCGGUGAAAUGCAUAGAUAUCACGCAGAACUCCGAUUGCGAAGGCAGCAUACCGGCGCCCGACUGACGCUGAGGCACGAAAGCGUGGGGAUCGAACAGGAUUAGAUACCCUGGUAGUC
rnacentral:rRNA from 1 species